rnacentral:tRNA from 1 species
UCCCUGGUAGCUCAGAAGGUAAAGCAUCUGCUUGUAAUGCAGGAGACCUGGGUUCGAUCCCUGGCUCGGGAA